rnacentral:lncRNA from 1 species
CCCAGUUGUGUGUCUACGCCGAGGCAUGAACCCUUUCAUUCAUUCUGGCUUUUAGCCAGAGGUGUUCUAAUUGGACUUGUCCGCGCAGCCCUUUGACUUAUUCAGUCUUAUUGGUCCCCUACUAUUGGCACGAUCCUGAUGUUUCACAGAAACUAAUUCGUUUUAAACUAGUGGCAGGCCAGUGGGGGACCGUAUCCUGCAAGAGUCGGAUUUUGAAAAGAUUAAUUGCUCUUCCGGAGAUUAGCCCCGUCAAGGCUGGCUUUAAAUGCUCCUACUAUAGAUUCCCAUAGUACUACGC